GAUGCUGCCCCCUGACCUGGGGUCUUGUCUGGCUUCCUCUCAGGAAAGAGGCACUUGCUGCCGCAACAUUCCUUGUGUUGCCCAUGAGAUUUGAGCCUGUCUCCAAGGACUCUAGAAGGCAGAGUGACGGAAGCAGUGGUGCACCCUGUUGUCAGCACAGGCAUCCACAGGUAAACAAAACCAACUCUGAAACUCUGAAAUUCCUGACUCAAAUACAGUUACAUCCACACUGGCACAUAUGAGACAAUUCACUGUUAUUUAUACUCUUUGAUCAAGGCAACUGCUUAAGUUUGAAAUGCAGCGGUAAAUUAAGUUGUCUUCCACAGUGGUGACUUGUCUGGUCAGCUGUGUAUGAUCGCCAUCUCCCUCAGAGGGGUCUUCUUUGUGCUAAGACACACUGCCAGACACUCUGUUAUCAGCAACCAAAUCCUCCCAGAUUGGGGAUCAGGGCUAAGCAGGUUUGUUUUUGUUUUUUUGUUUUGUUUUGUUUUGAAUAUUUUUCAACUCUUUAAUUUUAUGCCUAUGUUUGAUGAUAGGUCAGUGAUAUUUCAUAGUUUCAAAAGUCCUUGCUGCUCUGAGAAGUGUAGAUACUAUGUGAAAAUCACGUAGUAAUGACAGCAUGUGCUGGGGUUUGUUCUUGUUUAUUUUUUGAGGAAGAAGAGGAGGAAGUGGAGGAAGAGGAGGAGGAAGGCUGAGGAGAAGAAGAGGGGGAGGGGAAGGAUGUACACUUGCUGCUUCUACCUUCCCUAAACCAUCCUGCUUUGCAGAAAUCCAGACUGACGGCAGCACCAACCACGCACGGAAUACAUUUAUCUGCUCAGGAGAAGCAAACGCCCCCUGGAGUGCACAUGGGACUCUGGGGACACCUCCUUUUCACUCUGUGGACCAUGAUGCCGCACACUGCAGGAUGGCUCCCAAGACUGGAGAAUACCUGAUACUAUUCCAGCUGUUUCAAAUACUUCCACUUCUUCUUUUACUUUGUUCUUUUAUAAUAUGUAAGAUUCUUAUUUCAUCUUUAUCCAAUAGGACUCCCACUUUGUCGGAGAUCUAUCCUGCGUUUUCUCCUCCUCCUAUUGUAACUGUGUAUCCCCUUCACUGUUCUGUUUCCCUUCUGUUGUCUACACUUCAUGUGUUAGUGCUAUUCCUGGUUCUCUUGGGUGUUUGCAGUCACUUGAAAUGGAUCUGGGGACAUUUCUUCCUCUGGGCCUCCGAGGUCACCAAAGUGAGUCUCAACAAUAGACAUGCUUGUCACCUCAACGUCUGUAGCCAAAUUUUUCACUUGGAAAUCCAUGAAUUUCCUGUUGGUAGUGUGAUGAAGAACAUCCUUUUAAAGCCAGUGUUUACUAUCUGUAGUGACUUUCUUUUCUUUUGACUUUUCACGGCAUCUAUCUGCCUCCAUUCAAAAGGCUUGUCGGAUCUGUUAGUGUUCUUCAGAUCUGUUAGUGUUCUGCUCACAGGGCACAACCCAGUUCCGGGCUGCUCAUCGCACGGGAACACAAGCACAACCAUCUCUGCUCCAGGCACCAAAGGCUUCUGUAGCAGACAGGCCGUUGUUCCAAGAGGAAAAUGCAAGACAAACGCGUCUGCUUCCUCUUCCUCCUUCUCUGUCUCAGUUUUCUCAGAGACACAGAAUGGAGCAUUUCUGUUUGAAAGGUUUGCAUCUCACCAUCUUCCUCUAAAUCUUCACUCCAAGUUUCCAGAGAGACUUCCCAUCAUCACUGCAUUCUGAAAUUCUCUACCCCAAACCAGAAAACUUCAAACCUUUUCCUCAAGAUCAGCCUCCUGUAGACUUUAACCUUCACCAGCCCUUCCAGUAACACCAACAAAGUAAUAAGACACACACACACACACACACACACACACACACACACACACGCACACGCACGCACGCGCACACACACACACACACACACAAUCUUGGUCUGGGUUACUAUUGCUUUUCUAGUCCAAUGUUUGAAACUCCUUUCACGAUCCUCCCAAAAAUAAUUUAGCAGGUGUGUCACGCGUGAUCGCGGUACCAAUUUGUCUGAGCUUGGGUCACUAUUACCAAGACAAAAGCAACUUUCAAAGGAAAGGGUUUAUUUGGUUCACACUUCCACAUCACGGCUCACCAUCAAAACCCAGAUAGGAACACCUGAGUUUCUUAACUAAUAACUGAUGUGGGAGGGUCCAGCCUAUCAUGAGCGGUCCUGGGUUCUAUAAGAAAGCAGGGUGAGCAAGACAUGAGGAGCAAGCAGUAAGCAGCAUCCGUCCAUGGCCUCUGCAUCAGUUCCUUCCCUGCUUAAGUUCCCGGUUCAACUGAGGCGUCCUCCUCUCGAGAGACUCUACAUUGUGUCAAGUUGACAUAAAACCAGCCAGCACGUCUACCAUAUGAUCCUGCAUCCCAGCCAGACAAAGGAACUGGGUUGUUUGGGAGCUGGUGAGAUGGGGGUGUCAUUUAGUAAACUAUUGACUCAAAAUCUGCAUCAACUCAUUUUGAAACCUGGUAAACUUCAGAGAGAGUUACAACCUUACUCAAUUCUUAGAAACAAUCUACCCUCUGGAAAAGUCAAUAAUGUUACCAGCACAGACAUGAAAAUGCGCACACUGGAAUCCUGUGUACCUUUCUC